GUCCAUGUAUCUCUGAUUCAUCUCUUUAGAAAAAGCUUAUUUCUCUCUCUUCUCCUUCUUUAAUAAUAAAAAAUGCUUAAGAAACCAUAUGAGUUUCAGCGAUAAAUAUGCUUUAAAAGCCCAGCCAAAUAUGUUCUCUGCUGUUGGGGAGCCUGAUCUCUGAAACCCCUUUCCCCAAUUUUCCCUUCCUCACACCUUUACUUUGACUACAUCGACGAUGAAGACGACUGUCUUCUCACACUUCUGUUAGCUUUGCUAGCUUUGGAUCCUAGAAUCGUAGAAGAAGAUUGCAGUCAAGCGUUUCACAAGAAUGGGUGGCUUGAUGCACGACAAUUCCAGGAGGAAGCUAAGUCGGUUAGCCAACUGCAGAAUGAGGGAAUGGCCUAGUUCCAGUUCUUCACCUUUCGAUUUUGCUUAGUAUCAACCUGAGUAGAUGAUUCUUGGUGAAAACAGAAAAACAAACUGGUUUGAUUACAUGUGAACCUUUGACAGGUUCAGAAGUUUGAGCCAAACAACCCUAAGGACAAAGAAGAUAAUGCUUCAAAUUCUCCACUAAAUGUAGUAGUUCUUUUCGAUUUGAAAGAUAUUGUUUCAGUCUCUUAAUUUUGAUAGAAUUAUACAACUGUUUAAAGCCAGGAAUGUACUCACCACAAGAUCUAUAUCAAUGGCUAACGAGAUUACAGAGGAAGAUGACCAACUGGGUGACCAGAUUCGUGAGCUAAAUGUCUCCUUUUUUGUUACAUAUCGGUGAUAUGUUGGCGGGUAAAUACAAGAUCUUGAAAAAAAAGUGGAACCAGAAGACGAUAUAUGCCGGAACAACUGGGGAAGCUCUUCCUCUUAUUCUUCAAAGUUGUGUGAUAAGAUUUCUUUAGACGAAAUCAGACCUUGCAAGUUUCACAUCACAGCAGAAGUGGGAAGAUGCUGCAAUCUUGGAUUACGAAAUGUGUAUUGAGCCAAAUUUGCAAGUUUUAGACCAGAUGAAAGCUUCUUCGAGAAAAGACAACAACAAGUUUGAGAUUUCCUGCAAGGGAUAAAGGUCAAGCUUGAGAUCCGAGGACGAUGCUGAGCAACCCAUCCUUUAUUUACAAGUUUAUAUACAAAACCUUACAAAAGCUAUGUAAACUUAUUUUUUAAUUAUGUAUGUUUACUUUGUAAUACUGAUCUUUUGUAUC